GGAUGUGAGGGUGAUCUGGCUGCAAUAUCUGUCACCCCAUUGAUCGCCAGGGUUGAUUCGGCUGAUCUGGCUGGCUAGGUGGGUGUCCCCCUCCUCCCUCACCGAUCCAUGUGCGUCCUUCCCAAAGCUGCGCGCUGCUUUCCCCAUAUCCAGUAAACAUGCUCUAUCCAGGAGAAGUUGGCAGAAUUGGGACUUUCCUUCACCCUG
rnacentral:snRNA from 1 species